rnacentral:rRNA from 1 species
AAGACGAACCGUGCGAACGUUGUUCGGAAUCACUGGGCUUAAAGGGCGCGUAGGCGGAUCAGCAAGUCCGGGGUGAAAUCCUCCGGCUUAACCGGAGAAGUGCCUUGGAUACUGCUGGUCUCGAGGGAGGUAGGGGUCAUGGGAACUUCUGGUGGAGCGGUGAAAUGCGUUGAUAUCAGAAGGAACGCCGGUGGCGAAAGCGCAUGACUGGAUCUCUUCUGACGCUGAGGCGCGAAAGCUAGGGGAGCGAACGG